GACCCGGUGGUGAAAAUGUUAUCAUGCCCACCCCCGAUACCACUGCGUUGCUACACGUCGGAGGUGUGAGUCCCUUGUUCAAAUCAAGGCCGGGUCA